AGUUUAUUCUCAUCUUGCCUUGGUUUAAUAAUUUUUUAAAUGGAGAUAACAAUCAUACCUAAUUCAUAGAGGUGUUUUGAGGAUUGAGGUGCUUAAUUAUACAAUUUCACAAAUGACCAGAUCAUGCAGCCUCACAUUUCCUACUUGGCUCACUUUCAUAUUUUUUUAUUCACAAGGGAAAGAGAGAGAGUGAUUGUUAUCCUCUGGCAGCAUGUAAUAAAGAUAGAGCAUCUUCUUGUGAAAACAAUACAUGUACCACGUUUCUAUGUACCUAUAUGUGCUUCCGUCAAUAAGCCUAUGUUGGCUGCUGCAUGUAUGAGCCCUGGGCCAGGAAAUGUGCCAGGAGAGUGUGUCUUUCACUCAGCAGAUAGAUUUUCUUUCUUGGCCUAAUAUAUCUUAUUCCUAGAUACCAGAGCAAAUAAUAAUGUAAUAAGCAUUACCAUGUAUUAAGUACCUACUCUGGACCCAACCCAAGAACAAGCAGUAUGAAAGUGAUAAGCAGGGGCACCAUGGUGUAAUUCACAUUUUCAUCAUCAGAUCACUCUGGCUGCUGGGUGGAGAAUGUUUAUAGGAGAAAAAAGGUGAAAGCAGAGAGACGACACUAAUGCAAUAUCCCAGGUUUAAGACAAUAGUGAUUAUCUUAAGCAUGUCAGAGAAAAAAAUUAAAGGUUUGGGAAUGUGUUUCUGAGGCGGAGUCAACAGGAUUUGCUGAUAAAUUGACUAUUUGGAGUUGAAGAAAAAGAAUAAAACAGUCUAUAUGUAACCAAGUACCUCUUUUUUAAACAAUCAAAUGAAUUAUUUUUUCCUUUUUCCUUUCCUCGCACCUCCUACUUAGCUCUUUGGGAAUGCAAUUAUAACCUUUACCUUCUCUCCAUCAGACACUCCCAACGCAGCAAGCUUAUCUAACUACAUGUUUACUUAAAAGUUACAGAGACCAAACCUUAAAGCAAACCAGGAACCUCCAGAACUCUCUCCUACCAGGAGGCAAAUUGAGAUUGCCUCAACUUACAACCUAGCUCUGCCCGUGACGGUGCCAGCCAGACCACCUGAUAGAUAAGACAUUUGAAGCAAGUCACGUAGACUCUGCACUUCAUCGCCCUCUCCCUUGCAUGCCAUUCACGCCAAGCCCCCCUUUCAAAGCUCCUGCCUUCUGCCCCAAAGGCUGUAGUGGCUUCCUUAAGGCAGCCUGUACUACUUCCCCUCAACUAGCUCUGGAAUAAAGCCACUUUCUUUCUACCAGACGUCGUUCUUGUUCACUGGACUCUGCAAGUGGUGAGGAAGUUGAGAACCAGAUAGAUUCAUCCAGUAACCCAGGACACACAGGAUAGAACGCAAGCAUCUCACUUAGCCCAGUGGAUGGCAGUCAAUUAAUGGGGCGAGUGGCUUAGUCCUUGUCAUGCUGCCAAGUGCAAGGGCCUUUCCAUGCUCAGAAUCACCAUGAAGACCAGAGCUAUCGCUCUUGGUAGGCUACAGACUCAAAGGGUCUGUAUAUUUAUAUAUGCUGCCAAAAAAACCUCAAAUAACCAAUAGAUAUAAAUAGGUACAGAACGUUUUUAAAAGAACAUUUAAAAAUAAAAUUUUUUAAAAUAUUUUUGAAAAAACAAAAUAAAGUACAUAACAUCACUUAAGAGCACACACACAAUCUCUAGAAAAAUUAAGGAUUCAUGAGUUGUCCACCCUCAGAAAACGUCUCCAUGCCCUUCCUCAUGACAGACUCUCUUAGCGUUUUCCUUUCUUUCAUUUUCAUUUUAUUUCUUAUUUUAUUAU